rnacentral:rRNA from 1 species
UACGGAGGGUGCAAGCGUUAUCCGGAAUCACUGGGUUUAAAGGGUGCGUAGGCGGCAUUAUAAGUCAGAAGUGAAAUCCUCCCGCUCAACGGGAGAACUGCUUUUGAUACUGUAGUGCUUGAAUUAGGUUGAGGUUAGCGGAAUGUGACAUGUAGCGGUGAAAUGCUUAGAUAUGUCAUAGAACACCAAUUGCGAAGGCAGCUGGCUGGACCUACAUUGACGCUGAGGCACGAAAGCGUGGGGAGCGAACAGG